rnacentral:lncRNA from 10 species
CAGUAGGCUCUGCCCUCCUUUCACUCAGACUAAUGGAGGUUCCACCAUCUGGUGGCUGCAGCCCUGAAACAUGAAGCCUUGUUGGAUCUCUGGGUGGCUCGUAGACUCAAAUGAAAAUGCUGGAGCCUCAGAUUUGGGACUGAAUGUGGACCAGAGAACUUGGCAGACCUUGCCAGCAGCAGCUUAUGGAGGUCUGGUCAGGCUGUCAUCCAUUUUCAGCUAUCUGUCACCCUCUCAGGAUUUGCACUGGAGAAAGAGUAAGAGCAGAGAGAGAGAGAGAGAGACAGAGAGAGAGAGAGAGAGAGAGAGAAACAACUGAUUGGCCCAGGCGGGUUCUACGUCCCACUUGAAACACAAGUUAAUGGACAAC